ensembl:lncRNA
GGGGGCGUUCACACGUUCGCCAAAACCACAGCGUUCGCCCAGAGUUACAUAACAGUAACAGUUACAUUUCCCCCGUUUGGUCGCUAAUAACCUCUUCAGGAUGACAGAAGAAGAAGAAGUAUAAAAGAAGUGGACGUCGUCACUAUUUUGUUACCCGUUGGAACAAACCAAAUGCGCAAUAAGCCGUUUUUCAUCAAUUGACCUUCAUGAAGCGGGAACACCGGCGUCGGCGCGGCGUGCACCAAAAGCCCAGCAGCGUGCCCAAGCCUGUGUGUGUGCGACGAAGAAUUCCCUCCCCCUCUUCUUCCUCCUCUUCUUAUUGUUGAUCAUCUCCCUUUUCGGAGGGAAAACACGAUUUCUCUCCUGAGGAUUUAGUGUUGGGGGGGACUGUGACCGCGCGAUGAAACGCUAACGCCAGGACCAGUUGAUCGCAAUCAGGAGUCCAGAUAUAAUCCAGUUUAUUCAUGCAGCUUCGAUGUGCCGAAGGAAUGUUGCUACUGAGAGGGACAUUAAACAGAUCUGGUGACCACAGACUUCUACAGGACCAGAGGAGUCGCCCCUGGUGGUCACUGGGUAGAAUGCAGCUUGCAGACACAUGUUUAAGAAGAGGGGGUUGUUUCCUGGUCAAUAUAUGAACACCAGCAUUGACGUGUACAGUAAAACUACUUAGUAGCUUAAAAUCAUGUACAAUUGUGCAGUUCUUUUAUAAAUUCUCUGCUCUUCCCUUUUUGGCGUUGUACAGUCCACAAAGUUACGCUUCUCGUCGUCUUCCGGUGCAUUUGAACGUUGCGACUAAGAUCCGAGCUGUGACUCGUGCUUGGAGCGAUGACCUUGUCCCUGGAAGCCAAACCAGCCUCUGAUGCGUUGAAGACGAGACGAAAUGUUCCCGACCUUCAUGUUGCCGAAGCUCGUGCCAAAUGUCCCCGUCGGCAGCGAGUCACGUUUUAAACUGGAGGGCUACUUCCUGAGCGACGCGUUAUUCAUCGGCCUCUCAGGCAGGAAGUCCCGCCCCCGUCCACAGGAAACGCCUCGCAGGCCCGCGUGCUCGGAUCCAAGCCAGCCGCGCCCUCCGAGGUUCAGUUGCCGGGUGACACGAAAACGGCGCUGCGGGUGCAGACGUCCCGUCAGCUCCGUCCAAACACGGCAGCCGAAUGCUGCAUGAAAGAGAUUAAAUCUUCAAAACAAUAAACCACCUGCUCCGUGCAUCUGGAGCCUCGCGUCAACACACCGGCCGACCUGCAGAGAAAAGAGAAAAGAUUCAGAUCUCAUCAACACGGCCCACUUUAGCUCCUCGCCGACCACGAACGUGCACGAACGCUGCGCAUCGCUCACAGCCGAAAUGACAAUAGAGGCAGAAUUAGUCAGGACGGAAAAUGGCGGCUGGGAUGAAACACACAAAGUCUGGUUGGAAUCAACGUGUGUUUUGUUCACGAGCUGCCAAUCAAAAGCCCUCAUGAAUAAACCCGUGAGGACGCGUCAAUCAACACAUCUCUCGACGCGACCCGCUCGCCGCAUUUCAAACGUCCCGUUGACAAUGACCCCCCCCCCUCUUAUACUGUUACUUGUUUUUCCUUCAAUGCUUUUCUAAAUUCCUCUCCUUCCCCGUUCCUUUUGAAGCGUGUUAAUCAUAAUUAUUUGUUGUUUUCCUGUCUUUUUGUCCGCAUGGAAAUGCUAAGGAGAUAAUUGGCGGGAGAUUGUUGUGAAAGCACGAACAAAGGGCCGGCGAUGAAUAAGAGCGUCCUCGGGGCCCCGGGGCCCCCUGCUGAGCUCCACGGAGGGGACACUUACCUUUCCGUUAUGCUCAGCUAAUUGGGGGUUUGCGGAAUACCUGCAAAUUAAAUGAUUAGUUCUGUAGUCUACAAAAUGUCAAGAAUGAGGACGAGCGCUCGGGGGGCAGCAGUGAUGUUUAGGAGAGUUUGUUUGAGGCUCUUCUUCAUGACAUCAGUGUUUUACUGCAGGAGACAAAGGGAUGUCCUCUGUGGACGCAUUUAAGAACCUCAAAGAAUCUGUUUCCGGUAAAGGGAGCGAUGUAUUUAGAAUGUUUUCACCCCUUUAGACAGAACUUUGUUUUCUACAGACACCAGACUCCAUUCACAUAAUCAGAGAUUCUACCGAUGGGAUCACAGGAGCCGAUCUACUGCUCAAUCGACCUGUUUUGUGUUAUUGUGUGACCUUUGUGUUUUAAGGGGUCGGUUUACGAUUCCCUUCAUACCUUUGGAAUUCCUGCACAUAAUAUAAUGGCGACUCAUUUAAUGUUGUGAGAUAUUUGUUGUGAUGAGGAACUGAUAUUGAUUUAAUCGUUUGACCCUCUUGACCUGUCGCGUCUUCGACAUGUCGUUUGUUAUCACUCUGAUCCAGAAGUCUCCUUCAGGAGCUUCGUUCCUCUCUGGAUUCUGGAGGUUCUACUGAUUCUCAUUCAGAGACUCAUUUAUACAACAUGUAGUACUAAAACCUAGACAAACACAUUUUAUUUUGUAUCUGUAGAU